rnacentral:lncRNA from 1 species
AUGGCAACCACCGCUUGUUUCAUUAUUGUUAGCAGAAAUGAUAUUCCUAUAUAUGAAGCUGAAGUUGGAGUAGCUGCUAAAAGGGAGGAUGCUGCUCAGCUGCAUCAAUUUAUCCUACAUGCUGCUCUCGAUGUUGUCCAGGACCUUGCAUGGACUACUAGUGCUAUGUACUUGAAAUCGGUAGAUAGGUUUAAUGAACUCGUGGUGUCCGUGUACGUCACAGCUGGUCAUAUCCUUUAUUGUAGAGAAUUAAUUUACAUCUGA